UACGUAGGGAGCAAGCGUUGUCCGGAAUCAUUGGGCGUAAAGAGCGCGUAGGCGGUCCGGUAAGUCGGUUGUGAAAACUGGGGGCUCAACCCUCAGACGCCGACCGAUACUGUCGGGCUAGAGUCCGGAAGAGGCGAGUGGAAUUCCUGGUGUAGCGGUGAAAUGCGCAGAUAUCAGGAGGAACACCAAUGGCGAAGGCAGCUCGCUGGGACGGUACUGACGCUGAGGAGCGAAAGCGUGGGGAGCAAACAGG
rnacentral:rRNA from 1 species